UACGAAGGGGGCUAGCGUUGUUCGGAAUUACUGGGCGUAAAGCGCGCGCAGGCGGCUAUCCAAGUCAGUGGUGAAAGCCCGGAGCUCAACUCCGGAACUGCCAUUGAAACUGUUUAGCUUGAGGAUGAGAGAGGUGAGUGGAAUUCCCGGUGUAGCGGUGAAAUGCGCAGAUAUCGGGAGGAACACCAGUAGCGAAGGCGACACUCUGGGCCGGUACUGACGCUGAGGAGCGAAAGCGUGGGGAGCAAACAGG
rnacentral:rRNA from 1 species